rnacentral:rRNA from 1 species
GACGAGAAGCGGGCUUCGGCCCGUUAGUAGAGUGGCAGACGGGUGAGUGACACGUGGGUAACCUGUCCGGAGGCGGGGGAUAACUCUUCGAAAGGAGGGCUAAUACCGCAUAACACUCGCCGGGUUUCGGCCUGGCGAAUCAAAGCUUGCCUCUACAUGUAAGCAAGCACCACCGGAGGGGCCCGCGGCCCAUUAGUUUGUUGGUGGGGUAACGGCCCACCAAGACUACGAUGGUUAGCUGGUCUGAGAGGAUGAUCAGCCACACUGGAACUGACACACGGUCCAGACUCCUACGGGAGGCAGCAGUGAGGAAUUUUGCGCAAUGGGGGAAACCCUGACGCAGCGACGCCGCGUGGAGGACGAAGGCCUUCGGGUCGUAAACUCCUGUCAAGUGGGACGAAUCCGGAAAGAUGAAUAAGCUUUCCGGUUGACGGUACCAUUGGAGGAAGCCCCGGCUAACUCCGUGCCAGCAGCCGCGGUAAUACGGAGGGGGCUAGCGUUGUUCGGAAUUAUUGGGCGUAAAGGGCGCGUAGGCGGCCUGGUAAGCCGGACGUGAAAUCCCGCGGCUCAACCGCGGAACUGCGCUCGAAACUGUCAGGCUUGAGUCCCGGAGAGGGAAUCGGAAUUCCCGGUGUAGCGGUGGAAUGCGUAGAUAUCGGGAAGAACACCAGUGGCGAAGGCGGAUUGCUGGACAGCACCUGAGGCUGAGGCGCGAAAGUGUGGGGAGCGAACGGGAUUAGAUACCCCGGUAGUCCACACUGUAAACGUUGGGCACUAAGGUGUUGCGGGUAUCGACCCCUGCAGUGCCGAAGCUAACGCAUUAAGUGCCCCGCCUGGGGAGUACGGUCGCAAGGCUGAAACUCAAAGGAAUUGACGGGGGCCCGCACAAGCGGUGGAGCAUGUGGUUCAAUUCGACGCAACGCGAAGAACCUUACCUGGGUUUGAACCGCAGGUGGCCGAUCUGGAAACAGAUCUUUCCUUCGGGACGCCUGUAGAGGUGCUGCAUGGCUGUCGUCAGCUCGUGUCGUGAGAUGUUGGGUUAAGUCCCGCAACGAGCGCAACCCUUGUCCUUAGUUGCCAUCGGGUAAUGCCGGGAACUCUAGGGAGACUGCCCCGGAAAACGGGGAGGAAGGUGGGGAUGACGUCAAGUCCUCAUGGCCUUUAUGUCCAGGGCUACACACGUGCUACAAUGGGCGGUACAAAGGGUCGCGAUGCCGCGAGGUGGAGCCAAUCCCAAAAAGCCGUCCUCAGUUCGGAUUGCAGUCUGCAACUCGACUGCAUGAAGGUGGAAUCGCUAGUAAUCGCGGAUCAGCACGCCGCGGUGAAUACGUUCCCGGGCCUUGUACACACCGCCCGUCACAUCACGAAAGUUGGUUGCACUUGAAAGCACUGGGCUAACCCGCAAGGGAGGCAGGUGCUUAUGGUGUGAUUGAUGAUUGGG